AAGAACCGGAGAACGGUUGGCGAGUCUGGAUGAGAGGACGGCGGCGGAGUCACUGUGGACGUUGUUCGCUCAGCAGGUUAGAGUGUGGGACUCAAAGCUUUUUUCCCCCGUCCGUCGUGUCUUUUCCUGUGUGAACUCUGCCGCUCUCAACAGCAGCACUGGCUAUGAGCUAGCUCCUGCUACCUCCAACGAAGCAUCUCUCAACUGCUACAAGGUCCAACUUGACACACAACUUGAAUCCAACCAGACUGAACACUGACUCCAGGGACAGACGAGCCUGAAGGACACAGCUGUGAUGACCAUGUUCUGUCUCUUAUGGCAAAGCAGAAAUAUAAAACACUGGGUUCUUAUCUAAAGUGUAUCAAAUCAGAUCUCCACCAUGUUGCUGCUGAGGACAUCAGGUGCUGCAGUUCUUCAUCUAUGAAGAGAAAAAACGCACUGUUAAAGAAUGUUUUGUGUUGUGUAUAAAGCACAACAGAUUUCAGAUAGAACUGUUGUACUGUGGUCUUGGUUUAUAUCCUCAUGGUGAAAUGUACAUAUUUUAAGUCCCUUCUGAUAAAAGUGCUGAAAGAAAUACAACAUUGUACAAAUACAUAAAAUGUCUUUCUACCUCAUCAGUACUAUUCAAGGUGAUAAUCUCCCACAGACCUAUUGAUAACAGUCCAAAUCAAGUCUUUCCACUUCUCUCAGUGUGAAAACAUAAUUCUAUAAUUAAUUUGAGAACUGUUUACAACACUGAUGUGUGGAGAUUAAAAUCAUACCUAAACUGUCUAAUUCACUGUAAAACUCCAUGACAUUCGCAGGCCAUCUGUAGUUAAGGGAGCAACGCAUGGAGUGAUGUGUAGAUUACUAGUUUGAUGAUGCAUGAGGAGAGGCGGUGGUCGAGUGGCAGAAACUUGGACUAUGGGCAGAGAAGGUCUCUGGUUCGUCUUUGGUUCGACUCCAUGGAGAGACAACAAAAGUCGCACCUGGAUUGAUCUGUCCAAAAAUCCAAGAGUCUCCCUACCCUCUCUAGUGCCC